rnacentral:rRNA from 1 species
UACGGGGGGAGCAAGCGUUGUUCGGAUUUACUGGGCGUAAAGGGCGCGUAGGCGGCCACCGCAAGUCGACUGUGAAAUCUCCGGGCUUAACCCGGAAAGGUCAGCCGAUACUGCGGGGCUAGAGUGCAGAAGGGGCAACUGGAAUUCUCGGUGUAGCGGUGAAAUGCGUAGAUAUCCGGAGGAACACCGGUGGCGAAGGCGGCUUCCUGGACCGAUACUGACGCUGAGGCGCGAAAGCUAGGGGAGCAAACGGG